rnacentral:tRNA from 1 species
GGGUUCGUAGUCUAGUGGUUAGGACAGUGCCCUUACAAGGCGCAAACUCCAGUUCGAUUCUGGACGGACCCA